UACGUAGGUGGCAAGCGUUGUCCGGAAUUACUGGGUGUAAAGGGCGUGUAGGCGGGAAGGCAAGUCAGAUGUGAAAGCCCAUGGCUUAACUGUGGAAUUGCAUCUGAAACUGUUUUUCUUGAGUGCUGGAGAGGAAAGUGGAAUUCCUAGUGUAGCGGUGAAAUGCGUAGAGAUUAGGAGGAACACCAGUGGCGAAGGCGGCUUUCUGGACAGUAACUGACGCUGAGGCACGAAAGCGUGGGGAGCGAACAGGAUUAGAUACCCUGGUAGUCCACGCCGUAAACGAUGAUCACUCGCUGUUUGCGAUACACAGUAAGCGGCUGAGCGAAAGCAUUAAGCGAUCCACCUGGGGAGUACGAUCGCAAGGUUGAA
rnacentral:rRNA from 1 species